rnacentral:rRNA from 1 species
UACGGAGGGGGGCUAGCGUUGUUCGGAAUUACUGGGCGUAAAGCGCACGUAGGCGGAUUGGAAAGUCAGAGGUGAAAUCCCAGGGCUCAACCUUGGAACUGCCUUUGAAACUCCCCAGUCUUGAGUUCGAGAGAGGUGAGUGGAAUUCCGAGUGUAGAGGUGAAAUUCGUAGAUAUUCGCAAGAACACCAGUGGCGAAGGCGGCUCACUGGCCCGGUACUGACGCUGAGGUGCGAAAGCGUGGGGAGCAAACAGG